rnacentral:rRNA from 1 species
GCAUAACGCGAAGAACCUUACCAAGGCUUGACAUCCCCUUGACCAGUGCAGAGAUGUACUCUCUCCUUCGGGAGCAAGGGUGACAGGUGGUGCAUGGUUGUCGUCAGCUCGUGUCGUGAGAUGUUGGGUUAAGUCCCGCAACGAGCGCAACCCUUAUCCUUAGUUGCCAGCAAGUUAAGUUGGGCACUCUAGGGAGACUGCCGAUGAUAAAUCGGAGGAAGGUGGGGAUGACGUCAAAUCAUCAUGCCCCUUAUGUCUUGGGCUACACACGUGCUACAAUGGUCGGUACAACGGGCAGCGAAGGAGCGAUCUGGAGCAAAUCCCAAUAAACCGAUCUCAGUUCGGAUUGUAGGCUGCAACUCGCCUACAUGAAGUCGGAGUUGCUAGUAAUCGCGAAUCAGAACGUCGCGGUGAAUGCGUUCCCGGGUCUUGUACACACC